rnacentral:lncRNA from 1 species
ACUGGGCCUGGCUGGAAUGCCUCCCGUGUGUGCUCCUCCAUGUUCUUUCUACUUCUUGUAAGAAUCUGUAGAAGCCACGUGUUGAAAAUGGAAGAGUCCCAAGUUGGAAGGAGGUUGGGUGCUUCUAUCACCAUUUGAGGAAGAAUUACCCACUAGCUGAUCAGGGAUCAGCCAUUUUGAACAUUACACAAGCAGGAAAUGAACUUCUAUUGUGUCUUCCUCCUAGGAAUCAUCCCAAAAGCUGAGCCUCAGUGGAAGCUGCCCUACCCAGAUAUCCACCUGGGAAGACCCCAGAGAAAGCCACUGGCUGCCUACCCUGGGAUUUGUUUUGUAGCCUCUGCAUCUAGAAGACCAGCACCAAUUUCUACUCAAGGAACAAAAAGAAUCUAUACACAUCACAGAAUAAAUAACCCCACAGAUUACAAAUAACCCAUUCUCCAGGCUCACUGGCCUCAUUCUAUGCCCGGAAACCUCUGUGUCAUUUUGUCUCUAUGUCUCUUUCAUCAGAAAGCAAAAUGCACAAUGUAGCUCUGUUCUGGGAAGAGCUAUGGGUUACUGCAAAUGGAAGCGUCUGACUAUGACUGCCGGACUGCCUGGAGUUUGGGUCAGCAGGGGAUGUCAGCUUUUCAAUCCCUCUCUAAAAGCCCCUUCCCCCAACUAUGCAUUAGGGAGACUUCUCUGUAGCUGGAAGACAGACGCUUAGUGUUCCUUCCUGGAGGCUGCAAGCCCAUCCAUCCUUGUGCUGUGAUUGCCAUCUUGUGGCAGAGAGACAACAAGGCAAUGGGGGAGGACCCAACCAAUGAUGAGCCUCCCAAGAGCACCACGAGAUGAUGGUCAAAAUCAGAGUUCCUUUGUCUGCCCCCACCACCCACCACCAAAAAAAAAAAGCGUCCUGCUCUCUGUUUACCAUUCCCCAAAUCAUAUGCUUUGGGGAUUCUCUGCAACUGGUUUUUUUAUUUAGCUAUUAUAAAAAUGAUACAUGCC